UACGUAGGGCGCAAGCGUUAUCCGGAAUUAUUGGGCGUAAAGAGCUCGUAGGCGGUUUGUCGCGUCUGCCGUGAAAGUCCGGGGCUCAACUCCGGAUCUGCGGUGGGUACGGGCAGACUAGAGUGAUGUAGGGGAGACUGGAAUUCCUGGUGUAGCGGUGAAAUGCGCAGAUAUCAGGAGGAACACCGGUGGCGAAGGCGCACAUCUGGCCCGAUACUGACGCUGAGGCGCGAAAGCUAGGGGAGCAAACGGG
rnacentral:rRNA from 1 species